rnacentral:lncRNA from 1 species
GGGAACCACAAAGCUGGUCCAUGAUAGAAGGCCAGAUCCUUCCCUGGCUCAAGAAGAAGCCCAAGGAAUUGUUUUCCUCUCACCCAGCACAUCAUAUACAAGCCUGAUUGUUCUUCAAAGCCAGCUGUGAGGAGUUGUGCACCGACUGCGUACCAACAAGUGACUUCUGAAGUGCAAAAGCAGAAAGAAUCAGAUCCCAUCACCAGAGACUUUGCA